rnacentral:rRNA from 1 species
AGAGUUUGAUCCUGGCUCAGGACGAACGCUGGCGGCGUGCUUAACACAUGCAAGUCGAACGGUAAGGCCCCAGCUUGCUGGGGUACACGAGUGGCGAACGGGUGAGUAACACGUGGGUGACCUACCCUGCACUUCGGGAUAAGCCUGGGAAACUGGGUCUAAUACCGGAUAGGACUACACCGUGAGGGUGUGGUGGAAAGUUUUUCGGUGCAGGAUGGGCCCGCGGCCUAUCAGCUUGUUGGUGGGGUAAUGGCCUACCAAGGCGGCGACGGGUAGCCGGCCUGAGAGGGUGGACGGCCACAUUGGGACUGAGACACGGCCCAGACUCCUACGGGAGGCAGCAGUGGGGAAUAUUGCACAAUGGGCGGAAGCCUGAUGCAGCGACGCCGCGUGGGGGAUGACGGCCUUCGGGUUGUAAACUCCUUUCACCAUCGACGAAGGUUUUCUGACGGUAGAUGGAGAAGAAGCACCGGCUAACUACGUGCCAGCAGCCGCGGUAAUACGUAGGGUGCGAGCGUUGUCCGGAAUUACUGGGCGUAAAGAGCUCGUAGGUGGUUUGUCGCGUCGUCUGUGAAAUUCCGGGGCUUAACUCCGGGCGUGCAGGCGAUACGGGCAUAACUUGAGUACUGUAGGGGAGACUGGAAUUCCUGGUGUAGCGGUGAAAUGCGCAGAUAUCAGGAGGAACACCGGUGGCGAAGGCGGGUCUCUGGGCAGUAACUGACGCUGAGGAGCGAAAGCAUGGGUAGCGAACAGGAUUAGAUACCCUGGUAGUCCAUGCCGUAAACGGUGGGCGCUAGGUGUAGGGGUCUUCCACGACUUCUGUGCCGUAGCUAACGCAUUAAGCGCCCCGCCUGGGG